GACGAACGCUGGCGGCGUGCUUAACACAUGCAAGUCGUACGGUAAGGCCCUUUCGGGGGUCCACGAGUGGCGAACGGGUGAGUAACACGUGAGUAACCUUCCCACAACUUUGGGAUAACGCUAGGAAACUGGUGCUAAUACUGGAUAUGUGCUCCUGCUGCAUGGUGGGGGUUGGAAAGCUCCGGCGGUUGUGGAUGGACUCGCGGCCUAUCAGCUUGUUGGUGGGGUAGUGGCCUACCAAGGCGGCGACGGGUAGCCGGCCUGAGAGGGUGACCGGCCACAUUGGGACUGAGGGACGGCACAGGCACCGACGGGAGGGAGAAGGGGGGAAUAUUGCACAAGGGGCGCCAGCCGGAUGCAGCAGCGCCGCGGGCGGGAAGACGGCCUUAGGGUUGAAAACCGAUUUCAGCAGGGACGAAGCUUUUUGUGACGGUACCUGCAGAAGAAGCACCGGCUAACUACGUG
rnacentral:rRNA from 1 species